rnacentral:rRNA from 1 species
GUUCGCGGCCGUAGCGCGGUGGUCCCACCUGACCCCAUGCCGAACCAGAAGUGAAACGCCGUAGCGCCGAUGGUAGUGGGGUUUCCAUGCGAGAGUAGGGAACUGCCAGCA